rnacentral:rRNA from 4 species
CUGCGACCCCAGGUCAGGCGGGAUUACCCGCUGAAUUUAA